AUUGGCCAGCGGCGAAGGGAGACGGAAAUUUCCACCGACGUGGAAUGCGAAAUAGUCUGCCGGCUUAACCAAUCAGAGAAAGGCACCGCAAUUGAAGGAGAUGUUGGCAAGCUGGAAUGUGUCCAGAGGAGGGCAACUCAAAAGAUCAAGGUCUGGAGAACAAGCCCUAUGAGGAGUGGCUUAAAGAGCUGGGCCUGCAGAAGAGAAGGCUGAGAGGGAGCAAGCUUGUUUUCUGCUGCUCUGGAGACUAGGACACGGAACAAGGGCUUCAAACUACAGGAAAGGAGAUUCCACCUGAACAUUAGGAAGAAGUUUCUAAGGGAGAGGGACAGCUGUUCCUCACUGGACCUCUCUGCCCAGGAGUGUGGUAGAGGCUCCUUCUUUGGAGGCUUUUAAACAGAGGCUGGAUGAACAUCUGUCGGGGGUGCUUUGAAUGUGAUUUCCUGCUUCUUGGCAGGGGUUUGGACUGGAUGGCCUGUGAGGUCUCUUCCAGCUCUAUGAUUCUGUAAUUCUACCUUAAUAAUAAUAAUAAUAAUAAUAACAACUUUAUUUUUAUACCCCGCCCCAUCUCCCCGAAGGGACUCGGGUGGCUUACAUGGGGCCUUGCUCAAUACAACAAUCAAAUAUCAAUAACAAAGCAAUAACACAAUUAUCUCAAUAAAAACAUCAACAUCAGUAAAAACAAUCAUUAAAAUCAGCAUGAAGCAUACAAUGUUAAAAACAGGAGACUAGUUCAUAGAUCCCGGCAAAGUGCAGAAUGUUCCAAAAUGGAGAAAGGUAAAUUCACAGUUGAAAUGGACAGUAAAGUGCAGUAUAAUAAUGGUAACACAUCAAGGAUGGGGCUAUUAUAGAAUGGGCAGACAGAUCAAUCCAACAACAACUAAACGUCAAACGUUAUCUGUAGGGACUUUAAAAAUGUACCAUAAGUUCAUAUGCCCAUUCUACCAGAAAACGAUAAAGUGUCACCAACCAGAGGCCUAUAAAUAUUUGGGUAUACUGCAACUGGACAACAUCAAACAUGAAGAUGUAAAAGCUGGUCAGAAAAAUUCUCAAAAGCAAGCUCAAUGGAGGCAACACCAUCAAGGCCAUAAACACCUGGGCCACACCUGUGAUAAGAUAUACUGCUGGCAUUAUAAACUGGACACAGGUGGAACUGGACAAUUUGGACAAAAAAAACAAAACAAGAAAACUCAUGACCAUUCAUCAUUCAUAAUGAUUCUGAAGUGAGUCAUUGGAGGGCAUUCUUCUAUGUUAAUUCUUUUUGCACUUUUUUCCCCAGUGCUACAAUGUAAAGUAACACAAUUUAUACACUGGAUUUUGCGCAUUCAAUUUCCCCAGGCCUAAAAUCCCUAAAUUACCAACCAGAUCCUGCCAUCUUCUUCAGAAUCACUGGCAUCUUCAAAAUAUUUCAGGUUGUGAUAAAUUAUCUAUUUUUGGAAACGGGCGUACCAAAAAUAUUAGAGAAUUUUUAAUCCAUACAGAUUUAAUCACUCCCAUUAGUACAUCGAAGAGCACCCUGAGAGGCCUUUACCCCUGUUGUCACUGUAAGUGUUGUCCUCAAUCUUGGAAAAACUAAGGAGAUAUAUAAUCAUAGGAACAAAGUGAGCACCACACUAAAUAUUUUUCUACUUGUAAUAGCAGCAAUGUAAUCUCCCUCUUGACAUAUGAUUGUGAUCUCUGGUACAUCGGAAAGACAACCAGACCCUUGAGAAUCAGAAUCUCUGAACAUAAAUCCAGAAUCAAAAAUUUAUCCACAGAGUCUCUUCUAUAUUCACACUUCACACAAUACAAACAUUCAUCUCCCUCAUUUAAAUUUUGUGCGCUGGAAUGCAUUCCUCAAAAACCUUAUAUGGACUUGGAAAAACUAUUAUCCCAAAGGGAAAUGUACUGGAUCUAUCUUUAAGUUUAAAAUCUUUUCCCCUCAGGAACUUAAUGAAUCACUUAAUUUCAGCUGUUUCCUUUAAGUUACCAAGUACUCUUUAUAAACCUUUGAAUGAACCUUCAGAAUCACUCGCAGUUGAAAUCACCACAAGCAGAGUCAUUUCUUGUAAGCAAUUAGGCACUAUGUAAGUAUAUAACAGUUAUAUGGGUUACCUUUACUUCUGUUAAUACUGCUGGUAAAAUACUUGUUACUCUAUGUUUUGUUUUACCGGUAGAUAUAAGUUCGUUGUUGCUGAUUAUAUCAACUCCUAAAGAAGGGGAUUUUUUCCCCCGAAACAGGGUGCACAAAUACUUUAGACUUGGGACUUUAUUUGGACUUUACUUGCGAAGACUUUCUUGAGAGCGGUGCUCCAUCAUUAUUUUCUUCAUUCUGUAUACAGCAACAUGACCAACCAUCUGUUUACUUGAUUUGGAAGAUAUUUUCAUUGAUUAUGUAUUCCUGAAGCCUAUAUACAUUGGAACCAAUAUCAGAUAACUUUUGUGUUAGAUCUGUUGCUCCUUUUCAUUUUGUCUGGUACUACCGAAUUGAGUUUUGUACGGGGAACUUUAAUAAUACUAUAUGCUAUUUGGACAUUAUAUUUUCUUUGUACAUAGA